CCUACGGGUGGCAGCAGUGGGGAAUAUUGGGCAAUGGAGGCAACUCUGACCCAGCAACGCCGCGUGAAUGAUGAAGGUCUUCGGAUUGUAAAGUUCUUUUCUAAGGGAAGUAGAAAGUGACGGUACCUUAGGAAUAAGCCUCGGCUAACUACGUGCCAGGAGCCGCGGUAAUACGGAGGAGGCAAGCGUUAUCCGGAAUGACUGGGCGUAAAGGGUGCGUAGGUGGUUUGACAAGUUGGUAGCGUAACUCCGGGGCUCAACUUCGGAACUACUACCAAAACUGUUGGACUCGAGUGCAGGAGGGGCAACUGGAAUUUCUAGUGUAGCGGUGGAAUGCGUAGAUAUUAGGAAGAACACCGGUGGCGAAGGCGAGUUGCUGGACUGUAACUGACACUGAGGCACGAAAGCGUGGGGAGCAAACAGGAUUAGAUACCCCUGUAGUC
rnacentral:rRNA from 1 species